AAUAAAUUUUAUCAUUUCAAUUAGAUGGCACUACAAAUAUGUGUGCAGGAUUAUUAUUUAUUUAUGAUUUUGCAUAAAUGUAGAUGAGAUGUGAGGUAUAAAAAUUGCAUCUAGAAGUGUAAGAAAAUUAAGCACACUCACUCACGUUGACAAAAUAAAUUUGGGAUUCUUUUUCCUUUUUUUUAUAUAUACUUUUUGGGACCAUAAUUUAAAAUCGGAAUAGGGUCAAGGUCCAUGAACUUCAUCCUUUUUUUUUUUGGCUUGUUUAUAAUAGGCAAAUGCAACAAAAUAAAUAUAAAUGAAUAAAAAGUCAACGACAGGUUUAGAAUAUCAAAUUUCAAAUGUGAAACGGUUCGCAUUAAAAUUGACGGUGGUUCGGCAGUUCAUCUUCAUCUUACAACGCAAGAGACACAUUUAUUUUCAGGGAACCCACAAAAUUGAAUAUGAAGCCGACACGUCACGUUACUUUGAAUUCUUUUAUCUUCAUUGCAUAUUCUUUUCCCAUUUUCCUUGGUUAUAUAGAUUAUUAUUAUUUUUUUAAAAAAGUCCCCUUAGAAUUUUUGUUUAAUUAGUAUCGUUAUUAUGAUGAAAAACAAACCUUGACUAAGAAUAAUAGCAUUUUUAACGAUGGCAAGUUAAUAGAUUGUUAUUUUCAUAAAGUUCAAGUUUCAUAUAGUGUUUAUCUAAUAUGUAACUAAUCAUUUACCGUUAUAUAUAUGUAUAAUAUUAAUUGAUGUUAUUAUCAAUUAUUAUUUUAUUAUUAUUACAGCCUAUUUAAUUGAUGACACAAAAAAUACCGCAUCAUUGAAUAUUUUAGUUGAGUAUUUAAAAUACAUAAGUAUAAUCUUACCGAUUUAAAAAUUUUUUAGAAAGUACUAACAACAACAAGUGGCGAGGAUAGGAAAAAAAAAACAAUUCAUCAUCUUUUUACAACGAUUUAUCUCAAAAUUAUGAAUCAACAGAUUAACCAUAUUUAAGUAUCAUAGAAUGUGUUGAUAAUUUUUUAUUCUAUUAGACUAGAAUCAAAUCUCCCAAAUUUAAAAAUAAGUUAAUUAUGUUUUGAAUUUAUACUAUAAAUUUAUUUAUUUUUAAAAAAAAAUUUCCUUCAGUAAUGUUUUGAACCAGUAGAUUUGUCUUUUGAAUUAUAUGCAUCCGCAGGAUCAAUUUGUAAAAACCGAGGGAAUAUACAGGAACAAACUACAGAAUAUUACCCCAUUCAUAAUAAUAAUACGAAUGUGACUUCAAAACAAUAACCAGUGAUCAGAUCAACGGUUUAAAUACACCUGAUGGUAGCGUAAUGAUUGGGUAAUUGAUAACGUCAUUAUUCAGACCUCGGCUCAAUACAAAAUGUUCUAUGAGGGAAUUAUUACAUCUAUAACACUCGGAUUAAAAGUUAUGUCUGCAUAGAUUUAAAAAUGCCGCCUGUCAAAAUGAUGAAGGUUGACAUUUUGGUAAAUGAAGGGGAAAAAAAAAACUCUUGUGAAUAAUGAUUUAAUUUAAAGAGUGGUGAUUAGGGAUGGCCAACGGGCCAUGCCGUGCCGGCCCAGGCCCAUCAACGGAAGCCCACGCGUACUCGUGCUCGUGUCGUGCCGUGCCCACUAUUUAUUUCGUGCCGUGCCCACAUGUGAUCGCGUUCAUGCCCACUCGUGCCGUUUCGUGCCUAGGAAAAAUAGCCCACUAAUUUUUAUUUAUUUAUUUUUUAAGAGCGCAUGUCAAGUUGUCAUAUUUUUUUCAAUCUUA
rnacentral:lncRNA from 1 species